CCUGGCUACGCUGCUGGACUGACAAAACAAUUGUAAAUACUGGAGAAUAUGACAACUAGCGAAACUUCUGUAAAGACAGCACCUUACAAAAGGGGGAACCUGUCAGCUCAAAGGCUCUCAUCCACAUCUGAUAUCCAAGUUCACACCAACUUCAUAUCAUAUGCCCUUUACGACUCAGAAGACACAUGCAAUGUGGAAAAUACAGGAUGUGGAACAGUCUUUCCUACUGCAUUCAGGUACAACAGAAGACCUGAAACAUACCUUGUUCUUCUUUCUACUGCAGCGCACGACCUUUCAUUUUUAAUUGGAUGUGUCGAAGUACGACAAAGCACGUGAGCCGUCAUACGACAAGGCGUCAAGUGUCAGAAUCAGGGAAGUAUAGGUCUCUGCAGAACAGUAAUGGUGUGUUCAAAUCUCAGAAUCAGAAUGAUCUUUAUUGCCAUGUAUGCUUACACGUACAAGUGACAGAAGCUUCCAGUGCACAAACAAUACAACAAGAAAUAGAUAAUAAAAAAAUAGAAUAAUAAUAAAAAGUGAAAAGAAAAUAUAAGUAUAUAUAGAAAUACACAAGACAAAAUAUAUAUAUAUAUAUAUACACACACACACACACAUAUGUACAAAUACAAAUCUGUUAUAUACAGAUGCAAGGGAAUGAAAUGGCAGAAGAGGUAGGGUAUGUUGUAUAAAUAUAAAUAGAUUAAGCUGUGUAUUGCUCAUAGUUAUUGCUCAAUGGGGCAGUUUUAACAGUUCAUGAGAUGGAUAGCCUGAGGGGAAAAAACUGUUCCUGUGCCUGAUGGUUCUGAUGCUCAGAGCUCUGAAGUGUCGGCCAGAAGGCAACAGUUCAAAAAAGUAGUGGGCAGGGUGAGUAGGGUCCAGAGUGAUUUUUCCAGCCCUUUUCCUCACUCUGGAAGUGUAUAGUUCUUGAAGGGAGGUCAGGGGACGACCAAUAAUCUGCUCAGCAGUCCAAACUGUCCUUUGUAGUCUUCUGAUGUCCGAUUUCAUAGCUGAACCAAACCAGUUACUGAAGUGCAGAGGACAGACUCAAUGACUGUGUGUGUUUUCAAACCGGGAUGGGUGUUUCUAAACUAUCCAAUGAAAGUAGGGAAUAUCAGUGUAGAAAUCAAUAGCCGUUUCCAAACCAGGAUGGGCGUUUCUAAACUAACCAAUGAAAGUAGGGAAUCUCGAUGGUUUGAAAACACCCACUAAUUGGGAAAAGCCCAUUGUCUCUAAUCAGGAGCCUUUAUGCAGAGCAGUGAUCUGAGCCCUAAGCCUGUUUGCCGAGAUCAAAGUUAGUGCCUCGUAUUAAUCAACCACAAAGCCAUGCCUGUUAUCUGCUGCAGGAAUGCUAAUCAAACUGUCCUGUGAAGAACUGACCUGCUUUGAGGAUAACUGAGGUACUGCCAUCCCAUUUCUGAAAGGAACUCAUUCAAUCACCAAACCAAACAUUCACAGUCUCUGAGACAGAUGGAAGAGAAAAAGGUUCUUUGUGCAGUUUUAUGCAUGUGGGUUAAGUUUGACAGAUUUGGCAGAGAUUGAGCAGAUGUUCCCUUCAUGACCCAGAAAGUGGAACACAGCAGAGGAGCUUCUGUCUCUGCAGAGUACUUCCUGUCCCUGCUGUGGAUUCUCUCUCUAUAACCAUUAAUUUCCUGUCUACUAUACUAUCCGACAUAGAAACUGUUAAAAGCUUACACCUUUUAUCUACGUUUUACCUACAUAUCUAUUUGUUCAAAAUAGAAUAUUACCAUACAACUCUUACUAUGUCUGCCAUAUAUAGUAUGCACUAGAGGUGGAUGAUAUACUGGUUAAUGUGUCAGCCGAUAUGAAUCAUUUCUAUCACAGUUAUGCAAAACGCUGCCGUAUGGUAAGGAAUGUGCGUUCCGCAUUUACUUUACAUAUAGGAAGAAACUGAGGAAGAGUCUGUAAAACCAGGGUUUCUCAAACUUUUUUGAACCUAGGGCCCCUUUCAUAACCCCAAAUUCUUCGCAGACCCCGCCCCACGUACCAUCAUCACAAAUAUGAUAUUAUUUACUAAAAGUAUAAAAAUUAUCUCUGUAAUGAGUUCCAAUAAAUUUUAAUACAUAUGAAGCUUGCAGAACACCCAAGCACUGCUGUCCUGUUGUGUUAGGCUUCUGUAUGCAAAGUGUUUCAAUGACAUUACAUUUGGUUUUAUGUUUGGAAAUGUUUUAUUCCACUGUUUUAAUAAGAUUGUGUUAUUGUGUUUGAUGUACAUUUAAUGUACAGCAUUUUGGUUUAACUUACAUUUUUAAAGUGCUUUAGAAAUAAACUUUACUUUGACUUACAUUCAGUCACUGUACAGCAAUUUACAAGUGAGGAAUACAACACAAGCAAUUCAUAUCAAAGAGAGCAAAAACAAACACUGUAAAAUGAAGUUAGGGAGACAGUCUGUUGUUGAUCAUUUCUGGUUUCAGCUAAAUCCACAGGAUGACGAAACAUCACCGAGAACACUACAAAGCUCGAACAGUAGGCUACUGAUUUUCUUAAAAAAAUUUAUUAUUAGAAUUUCCCCCUAGUCAAAGCAUGAGUUUACACAUCAAUAAAGCACCAUAUUCUUUUGAAGAAAAAUAAACAGUUGAUUAAUUUGUUUUUAUUCACAUAAACUAUACCACACCACAAUAUUCAUAAUUAAACAACAGUGAAGAUACAAAACAAUUUACUCAUUAUUCAUUUUGUCAAAUUAUUGUUUCAUUGUUAACCGUCACUUUUUUAUGCAAAUAAAAGGCAGAAAAAAAAAGUUCUAGAAAGUAUUCCUGCAUAAUGGUCUCCCUUCCGUUCGGCAGUGAACGGGACGUGAUUUAUAUUUACAUGAAUGACAGUUAUAGUGAAGUGGAAAUUUAUAUAUACUGUAUAAAUACAAUGUAUUGACCACCACUAUUAGACAAAUGAUACUGUAUGUUUAAAUGAAGAGUCACUGCUAUAGGAAAUAUAUUAUCACAUUUGACAUGAAGCUGGAUCAUCAAUCGUCAUAUUAUACUAACUUAUAAUACGACAGUAGCAUACUUUAUCUAGCAAGAUUGAAAAACAUAAUUAUAAGUAUAUACAGUCAGAAAUGUGGACCUUGCUAAUCCAGUGCUGGUCAGAUGGGAAUUCAACUUGGAAUACACGUAAUAAACCCCUUCUCUUUUGUACUGGAUGAAGUAACACCUCCGUGUUUCAAUGUAUGAUGGAUAUUGUCCAAUGUCAUAUGCAGAAACUCCUGUAGAUGCAAGUAACCCCCCCCCCCACAUCCCCCCACCUCAGUCAUCUUGAAGCGAGAUUCAUUCACCAUUAGAGAAGUCGCUGUGACUAUUAUAUAUUAUAUAGGCUGUUUGAAUAAAUUCUAAACUUCUGUUAUGUUGUAUUUUUAUACUAGUCAAUAGCUUUAGACUGAGUAGUUUUUUUAUUGCUUUUUUAUUACUUAGCCUAUUUGAUUACAACAUUGCAACACAAUGUACAAAAUUCAGGGAUUUUCCACAGACCCCCUGGCAAUUUGAAAAGGACCUACAUAAUGUGUUCUGUUUAAGGCUGGCAAAGUAAAAUUCUAAAUUUGAAUAUUCAUCCAAUUUAAGAUAAAAAUACACAUUCUAAUAUUAAAACUAUGCAUUCGAAUUUUGGAUGUGCACCAAACACUGGAAAAAUCACGUUCUUAAUAAAAGGCUACAUGCAGCACAACAAAUACCUUUUAAAAAAAUGCAGGUCUUGAGUCACAUUUUGUUGUUGAUUUGCUCAAAAAGAAAAAUGCAACCAAUAAAAUAUGAGGUUGAAGCUCAUUAACUUGACACGGCAUCUACAAAACAAAGCAUUCCUGAAUGAGAUGCUGAGUAAACUGAUACGUGAUGCAACAGUCAAACACUUUCAUCUAGUGCAUGUUUACAUAAAAAACUAAUGGAAAACUGCGUGAAUGGAAGCAAAGCGUUCGGUGUGAACAGCCCCUUAAGACCUUUGCACACCAAAUGCGAAUUGUCGCCACCAAUUGUUGCCGCGAUUAAUAUUUUGAAUAGAAACAAUAGAUUUCUAUAGAGCCAUUCAUACCUGGAGCAACAAAGCAAGUUUUUUUUUUUCAUGGUUAGUGUUAGUAUUUUUUUUCCUCCCCGUUGAUGAAAUGCCCUGAACAAUAAAAUAUGAGCUUUGGAUCACAUGUCAGAAGCUGCUGCAGUUACAGCUGGUAGCACUAAAGCACAGAAAGCUGUUUUGACCAUCGACAUUAAACGCUGGUUACUAGAGGAAGAAAUCCUGAACCAGCAGUGAGGACGUGCAUUUUAUUUGCAUCAAAUGUCUUAAAAACUGAAACAUCUUUUAUCAUAUGGGUUCUCUUAACAUUUAAAUUAUAUUGCUGCAUCUCUGCCUUGCACCCUGUUAAAAAAAACUUUGAUUCUGGAAUGUGGAUUGUCUUCAUAAUGUAUUUCAUAUUGCUGCAUUUUUGCCUUUGCAUUUAAUACUGUUCACAAUAAAAUAUACAGUAUAUUGUGGCAUCUUUGUUUUCCUAUCGCUUUUUUUAUAAACAAUUUUAUGUAUCUUUAAUGUGUUUUACCACCAAAUAUUAAUAAUAUAAAUACUAUUGAUGUAAACUGCAGUGCACUCCGUAUACACAUGUCUUUGUAUAGCAAAAAUGACUGUGCUGUCAUUAGCAGUAUUUAAGUAUCUAAUAAUGGGUCAGACUGAUGAUGGGUUUUGUUUUUUGAGAUUCUAUUUUUAUUGCUUGCAUUACACAGACUCUUGGAUGUCACGUUUAAUUCGUAACAUACAAGUUUGUUAAUAAAUGUACAGUACAUAACACAGGUACAGUAGAUGUACAUGUAAAAAGAUAUAAUCUUGUUCCAAUUGACAACAUUUCUUUUUACAGUCAUUAUAUGUGUGCAUUACACAGUGAUUUUAAACACAUGUACUGUAUAUAGAACAGGUAGAUGUAAAUGGCAAAAAAGAUAUUAACAGUAUUGUUUCAAUUGAUAAAAUGUGUUUAAAAGUUAAUAUUAUUUUUACAAUCGAUUCUUUCUAAUCACCCCUCAGACUGUGGUGAAGCCUAUACAUGUUCAGUCAACUUAAAAAUAGUUUGUGAAAGUGGCUUGAAAGUUUUCUUUCUCGUUGAGCAAAUCAACAACAAACUCAUUAUCACUGCUGCAGCUUUUAGAGAAAUUAGUUUUAUUUUUGCAAUCGGCUUGCUAGAGAACUCAGUUGUCUAUCAUACUGUAAUUUCGUUGUUUACUAUUGAACUCGUGGAGCAGUUCUUCUUCCCAUCCGUGAUGGGUGAAGGGCAGAACAGCUGAAAGGUGCUUUGCACCACCUAUCGUACUGGGGUAAAUUUGAUUGUCGAUUAGUGCCACCUUUCGUAACGGUGUGAAUGUGCUAACGGCAAUCAUUCGCCUCACUUUUAAGGUGAAAAGGCCAUUCGUCUGCGAUUCGUUUUGCAUUAUUGCGUCGCCUCUGGUGUGCAAAGGCCUUUAGAUGAGGUCUUUGACUGUUGCGUCUUGCUCUCUUGUCAGCGUUUCUCAGCGUAAGCAAUGCUUUUUCAAACACUGUGUCAGGAAAGGAAUUCUCGAGACCCUUGUGUUCUGUUUCAAUAUAUUGUGCUCCAUCUGUUUGAACAGCCCCUGUGCUCAGAGUCUGAGCUGCUUCACCACUGAGUUCAGCCGAAUACCACUACUACCUGGGAAUAUUACUAACGUACACACAACUGUAAUGUAUGAAAAACACUGUGCUAUCUCCAUUAUUAUGAAGCUUGAGUCUGGGGUAGUACCUUGGCACUUGUGUAACCACCUCAUUUUACUUUUUACUAAACAUUUGAGAAUAUGAACUUGCUAAAUCUCUUUUUUUUAUUAUCAUGAUUAUUAUUUUAUACACUUUAGUUUAAAAUGGAAUGCACAGCCAGGAAUGUUCUUCGCAAUAAUUAGCACGUAACCGUGCUGUUUGCUUUAUGUAAUUGUUGCGACCUCUUGUGGUCUUAGGAAACAAUGUAAUUUAAAAACCUGGGCAGGGUUGCACCAGCUGUGCGUAAGGUCUUACGUAAGUUGCGACGUAAAGUUCACACUAAGGGCUUAGUAACUACUAGUUAGUUUGUAACUAAGUCAGUGCUUAAUUUGGUUGCACCACCUGUUCUUAAGGUAAGACUUAACUAGUAGGUUGUAAGCUCUCCGUAAAGUCAUGCGUAGUCGCAUAAUAUGACGUUUACCUGUAUUUAUCCAAUAAGCAGCCUUCAAAUUUGACACAGAAAUGUUAAAAAGCCGUGCAUUUCAGUUUGAUCUUGUUACGGUUGAUGUUCAAACCUUGUUUGCUCAUGUAACUGUCAGCUGUAAUAAAUUAUAUCCCCAUUAAAAUAUGAUACGUAAUAAAAGUAGAUUUGAUAAAUAGUAUACUUGCCCUGUGUAAAUAACAAAGUAUAGGAACUGUAUCUGCAAUAAAUAAGGGGUGAUAAAUAAAUACAAAUACAACAGGCUGGAAAAAUUGACAUUUAUUCAUUUUAAUAUCAUUAUAUAUAUAUAUUGAAUGUGUUGAAACUUGAUACUGGGUUAUGCAUCCUGAAAACUGCACCACUAGAACAGUUUCAUGCUGAAGAGCUGCUUAAAAGUACGUUUUCUCUCUCAUAAAUGUAAAUGAGUGUAAAUGUAAACAACAAAUUGGAUUGAAGCCUUUCACGCAAAACAUGAGCUCACUGAUGUCAUAAAAUAUCAGUUUGCUUUUUUAUUCCAACUGUUGAUCCUGGUUGGAGGCUUCUGUAAAUAUUUAGUUUAUACAUAGGGUUACGUCCUAGCAAAGUUUAAUGGUGCAACGCUCAAAUAUUUAGUAGUGCGUAAAUUGUGACUUAGUGCCUAUUUAUGCCACAACUAGGCUGAGUUGUAACUUACGUAUAGCUGGUGCAACCGGCCCCAUGUGACUUUAAAAUUAGAAUUUAAUUUGAGUUUUGGUAAUAUUUAAGUGAAAAAUUCCAAUUUAGUUUCUCAGCACUAGUGUUCCACAUAGUAUUUUAAAAAAAAAACCAUAUAUAUAUAUAUAU